GUGUCCUUCGGGACACAUGGUCAAUUUGAAACGAUACAGAGAAGAUUAGCAUGGCCCCUGCACUAAGGAUGACACGCUUCACAAAGAAGAGCUAAACAGUUUU
rfam:Pyronema omphalodes CBS 100304, CBS100304, WGS project CATG01000000 data, contig: Pcon_v1_contig1472